rnacentral:rRNA from 1 species
AUUGAACGCUGGCGGCAUGCUUUACACAUGCAAGUCGAGCGGCAGCGCGGGGGCAACCCUGGCGGCGAGCGGCGAACGGGUGAGUAAUACAUCGGAACGUACCCCGUAGUGGGGGAUAACCCGGCGAAAGCCGGACUAAUACCGCAUAUGCUCUACGGAGGAAAGUGGGGGAUUCAGCAGGCAACUGAGGAACCUCACGCUAUGGGAGCGGCCGAUGUCCGAUUAGCUUGUUGGCGGGGUAAAGGCCCACCAAGGCGACGAUCGGUAGCUGGUCUGAGAGGAUGAUCAGCCACACUGGGACUGAGACACGGCCCAGACUCCUACGGGAGGCAGCAGUGGGGAAUUUUGGACAAUGGGGCAACCCUGAUCCAGCCAUGCCGCGUGCGGGAAGAAGGCC